rnacentral:misc_RNA from 1 species
UGUGGGAGCGAGCUUGCUCGCGAUGACGGCGGCACAUUCAACAUCACCAUCUCUGGCAGACCGCUAUCGCGAGCAAGCUCGCUCCCACA